rnacentral:rRNA from 1 species
GACGUAGGGUCCGAGCGUUGUCCGGAAUUACUGGGCGUAAAGCGCGCGCAGGCGGUUGGUCGCAUCGGCGGUGAAAGCCCCCCGCUCAACGGGGGAGGGUCCGUCGAGAUGGGCCGACUGGAGGCAGGGAGAGGUCAGUGGAAUUCCGGGUGUAGUGGUGAAAUGCGUAGAGAUCCGGAGGAACACCAGUGGCGAAGGCGGCUGACUGGACCUGACCUGACGCUGAGGCGCGAAGGCGUGGGGAGCGAACGGG